UAGGGAAUAUUGGGCAAUGGAGGCAACUCUGACCCAGCCAUGCCGCGUGCAGGAUGAAGGCGUUAUGCGUUGUAAACUGCUUUUAUAUAGGAAGAAAUAGACCUUGCGAGGUAAGUUGACGGUACUAUAUGAAUAAGCACCGGCUAACUCCGUGCCAGCAGCCGCGGUAAUA
rnacentral:rRNA from 1 species